AUUGAACGCUGGCGGCAGGCUUAACACAUGCAAGUCGAACGAGUGUCGGACGGGUGAGUAAUGCUUGGGAAUCUAGCUUAUGGAGGGGGAUAACUACGGGAAACUGUAGCUAAUACCGCGUACCAUAGGAUGAGCCCAAGUGGGAUUAGGUAGUUGGUGAGGUAAAGGCUCACCAAGCCGAAGAUCUCUAGCUGGUAUGAGCGGAUGACCAGCCAAACUGGGGCUGAGAGACGGCCCAGAAUCCUACGGGAAGAAGCAGUGGGGAAUAUUGCGCAAUGGGGGGAACCCUGACGCAACCAUGCCGAGUGUAUGAAGAAGGCCUUCGGGUUGUAAAGUACUUUCAGUCGGGAGGCGUUACCGACAGGAGAAGCACCGGCUAACUCCGUGACAGCAGCCGCGGUAUAC
rnacentral:rRNA from 1 species